rnacentral:misc_RNA from 1 species
UUGCAUCAAGUCCUAUUGACAAAGUCAAAAGCUUGCGUCAGGUACAACCUGACCAGGAAGUAUUACCUGCUAUACCAUCUGGUCCUUCGCUAGGAGAUUUUGUUGUUUGGAAGGGUGAGUCUGCAAGUUCUGCUACUAUUCCUGUUCCAGCAUGGUCCACCGACUCUGGGAAACCCUCAAAACCCACAUCCUUGCGGGACAUCCUAAAGGAACAAGAAAAGAAGGUUACUUCUGGACAGCAGCAUAUACCAGUGCCAACACAGAAAUCUGUGCCAAAUCCACCUGCGAGAGUAGGUGGUUCAUCAUGGUCUAGUUCAUCGCCCGCCAAGGCUGCAUCUCCUAUUCAGAUUAACUCACAAGCUGGCGCUUAUUCAAAAAAUAAAGUGGAGGACGAUUUGUUUUGGGGCCCAAUAGAUCAUCCCAAGCAAGAGUCAAAGCAAUCUGAAUAUCCUCAGCUUGGAAGUCAAGGCAGUUGGGGAAGCAAGACCACACCAGUGAAAGGAAGUCCUGGUGGUUCAUUGAGCAGGCAAAAGUCUGUCAGCAGUAAGCCUGCAGAACGUCUACUAUCCUCAUCUCCUGCGUCAGGUCACUCGUCCCUGAAAGGGAAGAAGGAUGCUUUGACAAAGCAUUCAGAAGCAAUGGAUUUCAGAGAAUGGUGUGAGAAUGAAUGUGAUAGGCUCAUUGGUACAAGAGAUACCAGCUUUCUGGACUUCUGUUUCAAGCAAUCCAAGUCAGAGGCUGAAAUGCUUCUGAUAGAGAAUCUUGGCUCUUAUGAUCCUGAUCAUGAAUUCAUUGACAAGUUCCUCAACUACAAAGACUUUUUGCCUGCGGAUGUUUUUGACAUGGCCUUCCAGGGUCGUAAUGAUCGUAAGGUCACUGGUGCAAGUGCCAAAAAUGUGACUUCUAACAGUGUUGGCUUUGACCAGGGCAACUCAAGUGUUCAGGAUUGGGCCUCAAAGGGAGGAAAGAAGAAGGGUAAGAAGGGCAAGAAGGUUAACCUUUCAGAGUUGGGCUUCAAUGUGGUUAGCAACCGGAUAAUGAUGGGAGAGAUUCAGACUGUAGAAGAUUAGGUAGAAUGAGGGAGGGUACAUACUUUGUGUUUGAGAAUGUUUGUAAAUGCUUUAGGAUUAUCCAGCAACAGAAGCAGUACUAUUUAAUCUGCUCAAAGCAAUUUUUGUGAUACUAUUUCUGACUUUAGGUCUUCUAAAUCAGAUUCAAUCAGAAUUAAACCUAGAGCUCUUUUUCAUGUUUGUCCUCCACCCUUUUUUGUUUUGUAAUACUCAACGUUGUAAUGCAUCCUGAGAGAGAUGCUUUAGCUGAGGUGGGUUCAUUAGUGUCCCUGCAUUAUAGUACCCAGAUUAUAGUUUCUAGUUGAAAGUUGUUGAACUCGG